rnacentral:rRNA from 1 species
AAAGUACGGCGUUAGUCGAAGCGCAUGGGAAGGCGCACCACAGCGGGUAAGAGUCCCGUAGACGAAAACGACCGUACCUCCCGAGUGGGAUCCCAAGUAGCACGGAGCCCGUGAAAUUCCGUGUGAAUCUGGGGGGACCACCCCCUAAGCCUGAAUACUCCCUGGUGACCGAUAGCGGACUAGUACCGUGAGGGAAAGGUGAAAAGUACCCCGGGAGGGGAGUGAAAUAGUACCUGAAACCGUGUGCCUACAAGCCGUGGGAGCGUCGUGCACUUCGGUGUGCCGUGACUGCGUGCCUUUUGAAGAAUGAGCC